rnacentral:lncRNA from 1 species
UUCAUCUACAGCAUUGAACAUACCUGUCAUUGUGCCUCGCCUGCCUAUGGGAAGGAGAGAGUGAGGGAGAUGAUCAGGGCAUAAAUUUGUGUUCAGUAUAACGCUUGGCUUUCUGAUGUAUGCAGAACUGUAGGUGUAGUUGGCAAGCCUGAAGUCUCCUUUAUCUUCUGCAUUGUCUCACACCCCUCCUCCUUUGCCUUCUUCUACCAAAGCCGUUGAGAGAAUAUAUGCCUGUAUUUUGGAUCAGAUACUCAGCACUGGAAUGGCCAUAGUGGGUCAGAAGUGCAAGCUAUCUGAUCCUCUUUCCUGAGGGUGGCCAGUAUGGGAUGCUUCAGAGAGGUGAAUGAAACUC